rnacentral:lncRNA from 1 species
CAAGAUCACCGUUUAAGCAUCAUCAGGUAUGCCCCUCACGGCCUCACCCAUAAACUAUAAAUUAGGUUACUCAUCAUGUAUGAAUUCAUCGCCCAGAUCUUUCCUUCAAAUACUACUCGUAUGUGUAGGUUAAUUUUGCCCACAGGCUUUGCGUCAUGGAGCUUGAAGACAUAUUUUGCAUAGCAUCUUAUUCGUACGCUGUCCAUGCUGCCAUACUUUUUUUUUGAUUAAGGACGAUGAGACGAUCAUUCAAGUACUCUCUUCGUUCAGGUUUUGAAGCCAAAUUUUUUCCUCUCAAAAUCCGAUUCAUAGAUCUAAUGGCACUUCCAAUCCAUCGUAUCUUAAACGGUAUCAUAUACAUUAAAUACAUGUUUAGAUACAUCUUCUCCAAACAAGCUCUCAUUUAUUAUGUUUUUUGAGAGUUAUGAAUUUUUUGAGUAUUCUUUUUUUUCAUUAAAUAGGAUGCCACAUCAGAAUUUUGCCAAUGUGACAUAUUAAGAUACGGUACAAGUUGGAGCAUAUUGAUAUUGGCCUAAGUCCUCUCACAUGUCUCUCUUAACUACAUACACUAAUUCUUUUGGUUUCACUUAUUAGACACCUUUGCACGCGUUUAUUCAUUUUUGAUUUGGUAGUAGUGUUACUUUGAUAUCAGUGUUUCUUGGUACUCACACCUGGUUAUAGUACUUCAAUUUGUGUUGUACUUCACUGCCUCCGUCCCGGUUUGAAAGAUCGUUCUCUAAAAAUGCUACAGUACUAUAUAUAUUCUUUCUCCUUCUAAUGUACCCCUGUAACUAUGCUGUAUAUGUGAUUUAAUUAAUAAAUUUUAUACCGUCAUAGUCUGAUCACCUACAGUUUACAGUCAACAAACCGGCACAAAGGAAGUAAUUUGGUUUACAAAACAUCAAUAGCUGACAUUGGAAAUUUAUCUGUCAGCAAAGAUCGGUAUAGCUGAUGUCAGCAACUGAGUUGUGCUUGUCUGUUGGUUCUGUUUCGCUGACAUGUGUGCCUCGCGGUGUUCUAGCAGGUUUUCCCCGGAAGUUUCGGUGGCGGACAAUUACAGCGGUUUCCUGCCAGUGUGUUGUGUUGUCGUAGU